UAUGUACAUUGCAAAGCCGGAAGGGGAAGGAGCACAACCGUUGUGCUUUGCUAUUUGGUAGAUUCCUUUACCUAAUAUAAAGCCAUUUGUUUUCUGUGUGGAUAAUGCUUUUCAGGAUAGCUAAUUUAGCACUCCCUCUGUCCUAAUUUAUGAAUGAUGCCUUUCUAUAUUGAGAAAUAGUGUUCCAUUACCUAAUAUAAAGUCAUUUGUUUUCUGUGUGGAUAAUGCUUUCCAGGCAAGCUAAUUUAGUACUCCCUCUGUCUUAAUAUAUCAACGAUGCCUUUCUUUAUUAAGAAAUAACUUGAGUUUAAAUUUUCCAUUUUACCCUUAAUAAGUUAGAUUUAUAGUCACGCAAAUAUCUAUGACUUAUUUUAGACCAGAAGUUUCUAGAGUCUUUCCUUCUUUCUUAAACCCCGUGUCUAGUCAAAGUGCAUCACAUAAAAUGGGAC
rnacentral:lncRNA from 1 species